GGACCUCACUGCUAUCGGGGUGAGACUAAGCCAUGCAAGUCUAGGCCCAUAGCCAUCUGUGGGCCUGGCGUACGGCUCAGUAACACGUGGCCAACCUGCCCCGAGGAGGCGGAUAACCCCGGGAAACUGGGGUAUAAACCGCCAUAGGUGAGGGGUUCUGGAACGACCCUUCGCUGAAAGACGUGCGCGGGGAUGCCUGUGCACGUGCCUCGGGAUGGGGCUGCGGCCCAUCAGGUAGUUGGUGGGGUAACGGCCCACCAAGCCUAUAACGGGUACGGGCCCUGAGAGGGGGAGCCCAGAGAUGGACUCUGAGACAAGAGUCCAGGCCCUACGGGGCGCAGCAGGCGCGAAAACUCCGCAAUGCGCUCACGCGUGACGGGGUUACCCCGAGUGCCACCCUCGUGGUGGCUUUUGCGCGGUCUAAAAAGCCGCGCGAAUAAGCGGGGGGCAAGACGGGUGUCAGCCGCCGCGGUAAUACCCGCUCCGCGAGUGGUGAGGACUAUUACUGGGCUUAAAGCGUCCGUAGCCGGCCCGGCGUGCUCCGCGUUAAAUCCAGCAGCCUAACUGCUGGGCUGCGCGGAUGACUGCCGGGCUUGGGGGGUGGGAGA
rnacentral:rRNA from 1 species